rnacentral:rRNA from 1 species
AGCUAAUACCGGAUACCCACGAUUUGGUCGCAUGGCCGAUCGUGGAAGAACUUCGCUUCGGGAGGGUCUCGCGGCCUAUCAGCUUGUUGUGGGUAACGGCCCACCAAGGCAUCGACGGGUAGCUGGUCUGAGAGGACGAUCAGCCACACUGGGACUGAGACACGGUCCAGACUCCUACGGGAGGCAGCAGUGGGGAAUCUUGCGCAAUGGGCGAAAGCCUGACGCAGCAACGCCGCGUGCGGGAUGAAGGCCUUCGGGUUGUAAACCGCUUUCAGUAGGGACGAAAUUGACGGUACCUACAGAAGAAGCCCCGGCCAACUACGUG